rnacentral:tRNA from 1 species
AUUAUUUUGGCAGAUUAGUGCAUUAAAUUUAGAAUUUAAUUAUGUAAUGAUGAUUACAAAUAAU